rnacentral:rRNA from 1 species
GACGAACGCUGGCGGCGUGCUUAACACAUGCAAGUCGAGCGGUAAGGCUCCUUCGGGAGUACACGAGCGGCGAACGGGUGAGUAACACGUGAGCAAUCUGCCCUUCACUUCGGGAUAACUCCGGGAAACCGGUGCUAAUACCGAAUACGACCACUUCAGGCAUCUGAUGGUGGUGGAAAGUUCCGGCGGUGAAGGAUGAGCUCGCGGCCUAUCAGCUUGUUGGUGGGGUAACGGCCCACCAAGGCAACGACGGGUAGCCGGCCUGAGAGGGUGACCGGCCACACUGGGACUGAGACACGGCCCAGACUCCUACGGGAGGCAGCAGUGGGGAAUAUUGGACAAUGGGCGAAAGCCUGAUCCAGCAACGCCGCGUGAGGGAUGACUGCCUUCGGGUUGUAAACCUCUUUCAGCAGGGACGAAGCGCAAGUGACGGUACCUGCAGAAGAAGCACCGGCCAACUACGUGCCAGCAGCCGCGGUAAGAC